rnacentral:rRNA from 1 species
UACGAAGGGGGCUAGCGUUGCUCGGAAUUACUGGGCGUAAAGGGAGCGUAGGCGGGUCGUCAAGUUGGGGGUGAAAGCCCAGGCUCAACCUUGGAAUUGCCUUCAAAACUGACGAUCUAGAGUAUGGAAGAGGUAAGUGGAACUCCGAGUGUAGAGGUGAAAUUCGUAGAUAUUCGGAAGAACACCAGUGGCGAAGGCGACUUACUGGUCCAUGACUGACGCUGAGGCUCGAAAGCGUGGGGAGCAAACAGG